rnacentral:rRNA from 1 species
GAGACACACGGCGGGUGCUAACGUCCGUCGUGAAGAGGGAAACAACCCAGACCGCCAGCUAAGGUCCCAAAGUCAUGGUUAAGUGGGAAACGAUGUGGGAAGGCCCAGACAGCCAGGAUGUUGGCUUAGAAGCAGCCAUCAUUUAAAGAAAGCGUAAUAGCUCACUGGUCGAGUCGGCCUGCGCGGAAGAUGUAACGGGGCUAAACCAUGCACCGAAGCUGCGGCAGCGACACUAUGUGUUGUUGGGUAGGGGAGCGUUCUGUAAGCCUGUGAAGGUGGCCUGUGAGGGUUGCUGGAGGUAUCAGAAGUGCGAAUGCUGACAUAAGUAACGAUAAAGCGGGUGAAAAGCCCGCUCGCCGGAAGACCAAGGGUUCCUGUCCAACGUUAAUCGGGGCAGGGUGAGUCGACCCCUAAGGCGAGGCCGAAAGGCGUAGUCGAUGGGAAACGGGUUAAUAUUCCCGUACUUGGUGUUACUGCGAAGGGGGGACGGAGAAGGCUAUGUUGGCCGGGCGACGGUUGUCCCGGUUUAAGCGUGUAGGUGUGUGUUCCAGGUAAAUCCGGUUCACUUUAACACUGAGGCGUGAUGACGAGGCACUACGGUGCUGAAGCAACAAAUGCCCUGCUUCCAGGAAAAGCCUCUAAGCAUCAGGUAACAUCAAAUCGUACCCCAAACCGACACAGGUGGUCAGGUAGAGAAUACCAAGGCGCUUGAGAGAACUCGGGUGAAGGAACUAGGCAAAAUGGUGCCGUAACUUCGGGAGAAGGCACGCUGACAUGUAGGUGAAGUGAUUUACUCAUGGAGCUGAAGUCAGUCGAAGAUACCAGCUGGCUGCAACUGUUUAUUAAAAACACAGCACUGUGCAAACACGAAAGUGGACGUAUACGGUGUGACGCCUGCCCGGUGCCGGAAGGUUAAUUGAUGGGGUCAGCGCAAGCGAAGCUCCUGAUCGAAGCCCCGGUAAACGGCGGCCGUAACUAUAACGGUCCUAAGGUAGCGAAAUUCCUUGUCGGGUAAGUUCCGACCUGCACGAAUGGCGUAAUGAUGGCCAGGCUGUCUCCACCCGAGACUCAGUGAAAUUGAACUCGCUGUGAAGAUGCAGUGUACCCGCGGCAAGACGGAAAGACCCCGUGAACCUUUACUAUAGCUUGACACUGAACAUUGAGCCUUGAUGUGUAGGAUAGGUGGGAGGCUUUGAAGUGUGGACGCCAGUCUGCAUGGAGCCGACCUUGAAAUACCACCCUUUAAUGUUUGAUGUUCUAACGUGGACCCGU